GACGAACGCUGGCGGCGUGCUUAACACAUGCAAGUCGAGCGGUAAGGCCCUUUCGGGGGUACACGAGCGGCGAACGGGUGAGUAACACGUGGGUGACCUGCCCUUAGCUCUGGGAUAAGCCUGGGAAACUGGGUCUAAUACCGGAUAUGACUCCAUGACGCAUGUUGUGGGGUGGAAAGCCUUGUGCGGCUAGGGAUGGGCCCGCGGCCUAUCAGCUUGUUGGUGGGGUGAUGGCCUACCAAGGCGACGACGGGUAGCCGGCCUGAGAGGGCGACCGGCCACACUGGGACUGAGACACGGCCCAGACUCCUACGGGAGGCAGCAGUGGGGAAUCUUGCGCAAUGGGCGAAAGCCUGACCCAGCAACGCCGCGUGAAGGAUGAAAUCCCUCGGGAUGUAAACUUCGCAAGAACGGGAAGAAUAAGUAGGGGACAAUACCCCCUAUGAUGACGGUACCGUUUGUAAGCUCCGGCUAACUCCGUGCCAGCAGCCGCUGUAAG
rnacentral:rRNA from 1 species